AGGAGAAAACUAGCAUCCUAAUAUCUUGUUAAAAGGAGAUCAAGAAAAUGUUGUUUGGCUUCCAGUUUGACUCCCAGUCGUGAACAUUGCCCUCCCCCUUUUCUUUUCUUGUUUUACAGAAUUGACAUAGUUUACAGAGGCUUAGUGCUUUGAUCCCAGCAAUGUACAGUACUACAUAAAGAAAGUAAAGUACUCUUAUGAAUUUAGCAACAGGCAAGAUAUUUGACUUCACCCCACCUUCUUUUCAGCUUCAUUGCUGUACCUUUAAAACAGAAUCUGGCACAAAGAAUCGAGUAGCUGAGGUUUUCCUGACAUGAACACAGUAAGGAUAAAUGCUUCAGCUGCCCAAUUUCUUCAUGGCAGACGUACCUGACAGGCAAAAGAAGAAGGCCUAGCAGAAACUGUACAAUAAUAAAGUUAUCCAUUCUUCAGGUGACUGAAAGGCACAAAAGGUGACAAGAGUUAAUUGUAUUAGCCCUCUGCAUAUGCAACAGCAAUAUCCAGUGGGACACCAAGCAGCUUGCGGACCAUUUCAUGAACAGCUCUAUAUCAGGAUCACCCUAUGCGCAUGACAAGAUGGUCCUGGGAGGCAUACAUUCAGCUCUUCAACGGGCGAUACUGGUUCCUCUUUAACAGAUAAUGCUGGGCAGAAC